AUUGAACGCUGGCGGCAGGCCUAACACAUGCAAGUCGAGCGGUAGCACAGAGAGCUUGCUCUCGGGUGACGAGCGGCGGACGGGUGAGUAAUGUCUGGGAAACUGCCUGAUGGAGGGGGAUAACUACUGGAAACGGUAGCUAAUACCGCAUAAUGUCGCAAGACCAAAGUGGGGGACCUUCGGGCCUCAUGCCAUCAGAUGUGCCCAGAUGGGAUUAGCUAGUAGGUGGGGUAACGGCUCACCUAGGCGACGAUCCCUAGCUGGUCUGAGAGGAUGACCAGCCACACUGGAACUGAGACACGGUCCAGACUCCUACGGGAGGCAGCAGUGGGGAAUAUUGCACAAUGGGCGCAAGCCUGAUGCAGCCAUGCCGCGUGUGUGAAGAAGGCCUUCGGGUUGUAAAGCACUUUCAGCGGGGAGGAAGGCGUUAAGGUUAAUAACCUUGGCGAUUGACGUUACCCGCAGAAGAAGCACCGGCUAACUCCGUGCCAGCAGCCGCGGUAAUACGGAGGGUGCAAGCGUUAAUCGGAAUUACUGGGCGUAAAGCGCACGCAGGCGGUCUGUCAAGUCGGAUGUGAAAUCCCCGGGCUCAACCUGGGAACUGCAUUCGAAACUGGCAGGCUAGAGUCUUGUAGAGGGGGGUAGAAUUCCAGGUGUAGCGGUGAAAUGCGUAGAGAUCUGGAGGAAUACCGGUGGCGAAGGCGGCCCCCUGGACAAAGACUGACGCUCAGGUGCGAAAGCGUGGGGAGCAAACAGGAUUAGAUACCCUGGUAGUCCACGCCGUAAACGAUGUCGAUUUGGAGGUUGUGCCCUUGAGGCGUGGCUUCCGGAGCUAACGCGUUAAAUCGACCGCCUGGGGAGUACGGCCGCAAGGUUAAAACUCAAAUGAAUUGACGGGGGCCCGCACAAGCGGUGGAGCAUGUGGUUUAAUUCGAUGCAACGCGAAGAACCUUACCUGGUCUUGACAUCCACAGAACUUAGCAGAGAUGCUUUGGUGCCUUCGGGAACUGUGAGACAGGUGCUGCAUGGCUGUCGUCAGCUCGUGUUGUGAAAUGUUGGGUUAAGUCCCGCAACGAGCGCAACCCUUAUCCUUUGUUGCCAGCGGUUAGGCCGGGAACUCAAAGGAGACUGCCAGUGAUAAACUGGAGGAAGGUGGGGAUGACGUCAAGUCACCAUGGCCCUUACGACCAGGGCUACACACGUGCUACAAUGGCAUAUACAAAGAGAAGCGACCUCGCGAGAGCAAGCGGACCUCAUAAAGUAUGUCGUAGUCCGGAUUGGAGUCUGCAACUCGACUCCAUGAAGUCGGAAUCGCUAGUAAUCGUAGAUCAGAAUGCUACGGUGAAUACGUUCCCGGACCU
rnacentral:rRNA from 1 species